rnacentral:misc_RNA from 1 species
UCUCCGUAGGUGAACCUGCGGAGGGAUCAUUACAAGUGACCCCGGUCUUACCACCGGGAUGUUCAUAACCCUUUAUUGUCCGACUCUGUUGCCUCCGGGGCGACCCUGCCUUCGGGCGGGGGCUCCGGGUGGACACUUCAAACUCUUGCGUAACUUUGCAGUCUGAGUAAACUUAAUUAAUAAAUUAAAACUUUUAACAACGGAUCUCUUGGUUCUG